rnacentral:rRNA from 1 species
GAUGAACGCUGGCGGCGUGCCUAAUACAUGCAAGUCGAGCGAACAGACGAGGAGCUUGCUCCUCUGACGUUAGCGGCGGACGGGUGAGUAACACGUGGAUAACCUACCUAUAAUACUGGGAUAACUUCGGGAAACCGGAGCUAAUACCGGAUAAUAUAUUGAACCGCAUGGUUCAAUAGUUAAAGACGGUUUUGCUGUCACUUAUAGAUGGAUCCGCGCCGCAUUAGCUAGUUGGUAAGGUAACGGCUUACCAAGGCGACGAUGCGUAGCCGACCUGAGAGGGUGAUCGGCCACACUGGAACUGAGACACGGACCAGACGCCUACGGGAGGCAGCAGUAGGGAAUCGUCCGCAAUGGGCGAAAGCCUGACGGAGCAACGCCGCGUGAGUGAUGAAGGUCUUCGGAUCGUAAAACUCUGUUAUUAGGGAAGAACAAAUGUGUAAGUAACUAUGCACGUAUUGACGGUACCUAAUCAGAAAGCCACGGCUAGCUACGUG